GCGUGUGGUUUAAACAGCGCACAAAUAGUUUAUGUAUUUUGCUUUAAAAUGAAUAAAUGAAUAAUAUUAACGUGACGAAGAUUAACUUGUGUAUAUAUAAAUUAAUAAUAUCACUUGUUCCUUAUUACGAGAUACACACUAACAUAAUUAAUAGAGUCACGCACAGAAAUAUGGAGCUCUUAAAUUAAUAAUAUUACAUAUGUUUCUGGCCGACAAUAACUGUAAGUAUGCAGCUUACGAUUAUUUUAUGUUUUCCGUAUUAUUACAAAUACUCAUACGCCUCGUAAAUUUGUAAAUAUAAUCGAAAAAUGUAUAAGCCAUGCAGAUGACAAUAAUCUAUUAAACAUUUGAAUGGCACAAAAAGGAUAAUUGAACGUGCAUGAGGCAAAUAAUAAUCAGUUUGUAAUAAAAAUCCUAUCCUAAAUCUGUGUCCAAUUAUUGUUAUCUUAAUGACAAAUUUGACAAACGUAACACAGUCAAGUAAUUAAAAUUAUCAACUGAAGUUAUACACUUUAUUUAAUCGUAUAUGUUUUUUAUGCAUAUAAAUUAAUUGCUUAGGAAAGGAAAUUUUCACUUGAAAAGAAUUCAGUUGUUUUUAUUGCCGAUAAAAUCAUAAUUAAACUAAAAAUCGAAAUCGAAUGAAGAGCUUAAGUCAAUUAAAUGUGCCAUGUAAAAACUGUCAUAAAUCAUUCGUACUUAAUAUUUCUUAAAGAGAAAAAUUGCUUUCUACGUUAAUAUUUGUAGAGAAACAGUCAUAAUUAAUUAGUUCCGAAUUUUUCAAAAUGACUCUUAAUAUCGAUGAACAGACAGUUGUUCAGUAUUUACGCGAAACUCUGGCGCCAGUUCCAUUUGACGAUCUGCUGACAGAGUUUAGCGGUGCGCAACCCGAUGAAGCAACUCGCAAGCAAACCAAAGCUCAGCUGCAAAAAGUCCUUAUUAAAUCGAUCAACUUUGGGUUAAUAAUGCAUUGCAACAAUCACUUCUACUCAGCAACGCAUGCUGAAGAUCUCCAAGAAAUGCUUGAAAAUGAAUCAGACGGUGAUUAUUCGUCCGAUCAUAGCAUAAUUUCCUUUUCAAGUUGCGAGUCUUCUACCAACAAGCCUUUAGCAGUUGAAGAUAUGGACAAAGUGGAGACCGAAGAAAGAACUUCAUCUAGCAGCGUAGAAAAGUAGAUAAAGCUUUGGCCAAAAAGGGCAAGAAUGCUUAUCAAUAUAUUGAAUUCUUGCGGUUGUUUUUUAACGAUUGUUCGUGAUACUUCUGAGGCAACGGAGCUGAUUCUGAAAAUAUGUAUAUAAAUUGGCAUAGUUAUGUAAAAUUUUUUAUCUAGUAUUCCAAAGAAAAUUUCAGACAAAUUUCAAUGCAAAAGUCAACCUAAAAAUGUUGUGUAUUAUCUUUAAUAACAACCAUUUAAUCAUUUUUCCUGUUUUUCAGAUAUAGGGCAAUAGACAACAUGUGUGGCACAAUGUGUUUGAUUUUAUCCAGGCGACAGCCCAAAGUAUUGAAGGCGGUAUUGCUUGACAAGAAUCUGUCACAAUUGUGGACCGACUUUUCAAAAUAACUUUUAAUGUCUUCAAGGUUAUUCCGUUGUAAUUUUCAAACAGGUUCUUCAGCUUUAAGGGUAGAAUAGAAACAACUGUUUAAAUGUCCUCGAAUUUGAAGACUUUUUAUAAUACUGUCGGAAAACCAGUAUAUUUUGUAUUUUAUAUAUUGGCUGGGAAUUUAUUAGGCGCACAUUCGUAAGAAAUGGAAUUAAAAUAUGUUAUCCAGUUUUGAAGUGUAAAGAAUUGCCUGAGGACAGGGUAACCUUUUUUUUAUAAUGAAUUAUUAAAGGCUAUAAAAAAGGCUGUUAAAAAUUGCAAGCUUCAAUUAUAUUGUGUUCAUUUUAUUCAAAUAUCCCUUUCGUUUUAUAUAAUUUGACUGUACCAUGCAAUUUACAAUAAAUUUAAAUUUAGGUAACUUCUAAAUAUGCCAGCUAAACUUAAAUUCUUUAAACAAAAGUAAUUUUUAAUGCAAAUUUAUGAAUAAUAUAAAACAAUUAUAAUAAUAAUUCACUUUCAUAAAGGGACUCAAAGGCCUUAACGUGUAGUACGUGGCGUAUGAGUAAUAUGGAAUGGUUGUACGCCCUGUUGAUUUGAUGACGAGUCAUUGAAUCAUAAUAAAUGCUGCACAUUUUCGCAGUCUAACUAUUUAUUCUUUGCAGCGUACGUAACUCGUGGACGUGAUGAUAACAUUACGAGGCAUGGUCCUCGAUUCGUACGGUCUGUCACCUGUUUGGGGUGUGUCCGUGCGUUAAUCAAACACACAGCAAUCCAUUUGUAACCCAAACACAGCCGUGCAGCACACACAUGACCGCGUCACGAGCGGCCACCAGAACGUGACAUAUGGCAAUGUACUUUUAUGCCAGUAAGAUAUCAUCCAUAGCAUGCGGCACGCGUUGCAAGCAAACCGUGCUGCAAAAGUCGCGCGGUCAACAGGAUCGCGAUAAACUUAUACAUAUAUCGGCAGCUCAGUAGAUGCCAUCAGCAAAGCUCAGAAAGCGAGACAGGUACUGACGAAGUCAGAUGCAAGGUGGAAAACCAUCUUAACGUGCAGAUGUUAACAUUUUUCGCUCGAUGCCAGCGACUUGAAGGCAAAAGAAUUACCCUUAAGCCUGGAGGUGGGACUUGAGCAGGAAAACGAGGGCAUGGGACUUAGGCGCUAGCACAAUUCAAAUCAGUUGAAUGGACGCGAUUUGGAAUUGGGUAUUCAGCAGUUUGGUGUGCGACUAUUACAGAUUAAAUUAUUUGAAACAUAUAAAUUUGUUGAAUUUUAUAGCUUAGCACCGCAAAAUCCACAGCAACGGGCCCUGGCGUUGAUAUAUUCCAAUAUGAUAUGUCCAUAAAUCCGCUUAGACACCAGCAAUGUUCUAUGGGUUCUGAGGCAAUUAUACACAUUUUAUUUUUUAUAAAAUUUAAAUAGUUUGUUUUGCAAUAAAAAAAAAGAAGGAAUUUCUGGCUUGUAGUUUCGUACGUUGACCAAUAAAUCAACUCGAUGAAAUCCAAAAUCGUUAUAUAUUUCUAAAUAUCAUAUUCAGACCGUGUUUUCACACUUAUCAUGCGGCAUUAUGUACAUAUAUGGUAGAAUAGCCUCUGUAGCGCUGGACGCAUUUGGUGAGGCGCUCACACUAAAGCAAGUCAAUGCUUUAAAUAAGUAAUCAAUUGCAAAUAUCAGAGCUGCCUAUCGAAUGAACUUUGUACAUUGUUUAAUCAAAUAAAUAAACGAACAUAUGCAUGCAUUAAAUGAAGAUUAUAAAUUCAUGAUAUAGAAAGAACGGUGAAUUUUUAAUGGAACCAGAGGGCUUUUAUUGGUUGGAUUGUACAAAUUUUACACAUAAUUGAAAUAAACAAUUCAUGCGCUUUAGUAAACAAAUUAUUUAUUUCCAUGUACUCGAAAAUUCACCGAUUCAACCUUCCCUAAAUGUUUGAUAUAAUAGCUCUGUGUAUAUGCAAAAGACAAACCAAAAAUUAAAUAUAAUGGAAUCUGAAGGCAACAUUUUCUAUUGCUUCAUUAAAAUGCAAUAAAUCUAUUUUUUGCUUAUGUUUUAAAGUGUCUUUUAUUUUGCAUAUGAAUUUUAUAACUUAUGAAUAUACUUGCUCGAAAGUAUAUAUCUUUAUUGAUCUACACACAUAUCAAAUAAAAUAUUUGGCUAACACUUCUGGGAUGUUGACUAGACACUUGAGAAUUUUGGUUCAAACUUUACAAAGAAACCAGACGCUUAUUUCAUUAUGCAGCCUACGGCAUCAAAAUAAGCAAACCAAUGUAUAAUGGAGCAGUGAAUAGUUAGGCGGAGACAACACUGACACUGACCGCAUUAUCUAUGCAGCCACAAUAAUAAUUUAUUCAUUGCAAAUAAGUAAUGGUGCUAGCUCUAAUUUGAUAGACAACUGGCAAAUUCUAACAAUCGAAACUAAUUGAAUCCAGCACUGUCUACGUGUGUUUCAUAUAAACUGAAAAAAUUCGCUAUCUCUGGCACUAAUCUAUGGUUCUAUUUAUGCUCUAUUUGUGUCUUACAUGCCUUGCAGGAGUUUCUGUUCUCAUUUUUAUUAUUGUCACGUUUGUAUCUGCGGCCACAAAAGCUGCUUGGGAAACUGCUGGACUCGGUACCUGAACGUUUAGAGACAUUAGUUGCCCUACUGACUGAGUGGACGGCGAAAUAUCCAUACGAUUAUCGUGACGAGCGCAUGAUGAAUCAUUUAAAAGGUGCUGCACUUCACAUUUAGAAGCCAUAGUCUUCCAAAUACUAAACGCCUUACUUAACCGACUGACAGAGUUGGAGCAAUAUGAGGUCGAUCUGCGCGCCUGCCAGACCAAUAGAACCGAUAUGAAUUGAUGCUGGCAUACGAGGACACCAACAAGACUGAAAAGCUUAUAGUUCCAGCGUAGUCCUUAUCCUUGACAUGUCUUAUGUGAAGUUGACUUGUUGAUAUAAGUAUACGCUCUAUAUUCCAUCUUGAGCAUUUAGAGUCUGCAAGAUCAAAGGUCCUUGGCUAAAUUGACUUGGCUUAUGGUUUGAUCAAGAAUAAACGAAUAUACCUUAUUCGGUCGAAGAAGUCUCGUUUUGUCUGUUACAUAAACUUUCUAUUAUUUUUAUGUAAUGCAAAGCUAUGAGAAUACCUUUAAUUCUAUAAUCAAAAAGAAAAAGCUCAUCGGCAGUUAAAACAAAUACUCUUUUUCACUUGUAAUGAACACUUAAGGCCAGCUCCUUGCUGAUGUCAAGAGCUUGGCGAAUUCAGCAAAUUUUCUUCGCCAGCAAAGCAAAGAGCCAAAAGAAUUUGGCUGCAAAACCAAAUGUGUUGAAAAUGCAGAUGGAUGCAAUGCGUGCCAAGGACUUGGCUGACUUUUUGUAUGUGCAGGACUGCGGUCUCAGUAAUUGUACAAAAUGACAUUCUCGAGGCAGAGAAUUAUGUUGCAAAUGGCAAAUAUUUAUGCAGCCUAAUGUGUUUCAUCUAAUGGGCCCCAUAUAUUUAGAGAUGCGAGUGUUAAUGUUGGCCAAGCUAAGGACACAGAAUUCCAUUCAAUAUACUUUUAAAUUUUAAGCUAGUUAUACCGGCAAAUGUUUUUGCAUAGUGCUAAAAGUCAUAUAAUUACAUAUAUCACUCAAUCCGUUCGUGCUUUUUAAAAUCUCUUGAAAUACAAUUAAGAACACAAAAGUACCAGGAGAAAACUGAAAAUUUAAAAUUAGGCUAAUCUUCUGUUGAAGCUGAAAGAGAAGCAAAUAAAUAUUUCAAUCAUGUGCAGACAAUGAAUUCAAUUAGAAUAUUGAACAAAUAUUUGUAUCUCUCCUGCAGUUGUUGUGUUAUUUUUAUGGUCACAUUUCUGCAUAAUAGCUCAGACCAGUAGCUGGCAGCUUUCAAAUUUUCGUUGCAUUGCAAAUUGCAAUUGCAAUCAUAAAUUGAGAUUUGAUUUUAUUGUCAAAUAAACAGUAUUUUAACUACUGUUGAUGUUGAAAUAUUUGCAUUUCGCAGAAUCGUAAAAGCAUUACAAAUUUGCAAUUUAAUAAUCUAAUGUUCCAAAAUGUAUUUAGAUUUUAAUUAAGUUUACUAGCGGGCUUACUGCCCGUAACACGUAUAAAAAAUUCUUUCAAAGAUCUUUGAAAAUGAGUUUGAAGUCGACCGAGAAAGGAUUCUGCGAAGAGUGUUGACCACGUCUUACUUAAUUUUUCGUAUAGAUCGUUGAAAAUAAUUUAUAGCACGAAACGUCACUCACCAAUUUAUUGACCCCCAUUUCCACCAAUGAGCAACGCAUUUUUCGAAACGUUUGAAACAAUGGCUUAAAAAAGGUGGUACAUCAAAUAUACCUACAAAUGCCUUGAAAAAGAUGUUAGAUUGAGUUUCAGAAUAUCACGGGUUAAAGUCUGUGACACACACAUGUGAACUAUAAUUCAACAAAAAUCAAUUUCCCAUUCCGUUGAUGCAACCUGGCGAAAUAUACGUAUACGGUCAUAUAUCAUUUUUAUGUAUCUACAGUAACCGUGAAAUGUUUAUUUAAUUGCGCCCUAAAAAAAUGAAACACUAAAAAUGUGCCAGAAAAAUAAAUCAAUUUUUAGCCAAAGGCUAUAGGCGAACAAAACAAGGUGAAAUGAUUUAUUUCAAUCGCAGACCCUAUGUUUUGUUAGUGCAACUUUGACUGCUGAUAAAUACGGCAGGAAAAUCCGUAAUAUGUAUAUUAAUAUAUACCGUAUAGGAGUAAAAGUGAAAAACAUGCUUUCAUAUAUACUCCCAGAGUUACGUGUAGAAUCCUUUAAAUUUGUGUAGGCCUUUUCUCAUAGUGGAUGCACAUAUUUUAUAAAUAAAUCCAAUGCAUGCAAUAGGCAUUAGGAAUAAGAUUCAAACAUUUAUAUAACUUUUUGUCUAGAAGUAAUGAUCAGAUCCUGAUGGUCCUAAUACAUAUCGUCCAUAACAGAAAAAGUCAUAGUAUGAAUUUUCAUCAAUAUAACCUUAAAGCUUAGCUCAGUUUACCAGUAAAGCCAAUCCAAUCUUUGGGUUGGCGGCUGUAAAUAAUAAAAAGAUAAUUAUAAUUACCACCUAUUCUAACCGUAGUACCUAAGCUAAACUAGCGAACCAUUGAAAUAGUUUGCUCUGUUCUGUUCCUGUUUGUGCAUAAUUCGUAUGCCAAACUUUGUCCUGCCAGUUGUUUCAGUUUGCAGGGGCUUUUACAGCUGCGGUCCUGAGAGGAACUCGGCCACCACCUGAUAAAUUUUCAGAUUUGCAUGCUAAUGAAUAGCGCAAGUCCAGAGCGUGCUGAGUAAACUUUUUAUAUUAUUCGUGUGUUUUCUCGAGUAUUUUGCAUCAAUAAUAAGAUUGGAAUGGGACAAAUACAAACUAUAAUGUUUCUUUCAAUGUGCCUUUUGUAUCUUCCAUUUAUGCUUCUAGCCAAUGCCAAUAUUUAUUUAAGUAUUAAAUCAAUCCCAGACUUAUCAGAGGAAUCGCAAUAUUAAAGUAAGAAACAUGACGAGAUUCUAAUUAUUUGAGCAAUGCGAAUUCAUUUUAAUUAUUCCGACCUUUUUGACAAGCAUUUGGCAUAGAAAAAAAUUGAGUCGAGUAUGUACGCUCGAUUUGCAGCUUAUUUAAUUUAAUCCUUUGUGAAUAGCAUUCAACGAACGCAGCAAAAGAAAAAUCUCAAAAAUAGAAUAAGGAAAUCUAAAUAAAAAGCUGUGCUUAAUUUGCGGAUAAUCGGAUUGCGAGCCAACGAGUCAAAUCAAAUGAUUGAUUAAUCGUUGUUCAUUUAAGCAGCUGUGUCUAGCAUCGAAGAACAUUUUAAUUAAAACCCGUUAUAAGAAAUCGGCCACUCGGCUGAGUCGUGGUUUUUUGCUGCUUUGAAAAAUGAAUAUGCAUAUCUUGUAUUCAUUUUUGAGUGGCAGCUGCAAGAUUAUAAUGAAAUCAUAACAAAAAUGGAAGCUAUUCAUAUGGAAAUCAAACGUGACAGCUGAUGUUCUAUUGGUUGUUCUGAUUUGCCGUAUGGCUUGCUCAUGAAUGAGUUUGUAAUAUAACCGAAACAACAUUCAAAGCUACUUAUUACAGACUCAAGGACUAAGUUAGUAGAAUGCUACUGCACAAAAAAAAGGAUGAGUUCUUUGGUACGUAGCAUAUCAUUAUACAAAAACUUAAUUUUUAUCGAUUUCAAUAUAAAAUUCUUCUGUCUCUUCUUUUUAUUUAUUAUUUUCCUUUUUCUAUUGGUUUUGUGCGUUUGAUUUCGUUAAAGGCUUUAUGUGAGGUGCCAGCUUUCUACUUUACAUUGUUCUGUUGUCAAUAGAGAUAAAUUUCCUGCAAAAAUUUAGUGUAUUCCUUUAAUAUAUGUUAACAAUAUUUGCACUAUAUUGAUUACUCCAGCAUUAAGGUAUGGAUCCAUCAGCAGGAGAGUAAAAAGGUUUUAUGGUUCCAUUUAGAAGAUUCAAUUAAAAACUAAAGAAAUGCCUUCGAGCUUACAAGAUGUACGGCAUAUGAGUAAAUCGGUUUGCAGUAUAAUGCUAUUGCCCAAUGCAUUUUCGGAGCAGGUAAUAAAAAAUAUAUACAAACUUUAUAAAAAACCAAACCAAACCCAAAAAAAAUGGCCAUCGCAACAAUAAAAGGCUUAACGCAAUUCUGCUAACGAACCACAACCCUGGCUUUUCAAUUGCAAUCAUGCGGUCAUUUUGCACUCGAAAUAUAAAUAUAGCAUAAAAAACGGACUCAUUUGUGGCUUGCAAAAGCUGCUCAUAUUCAUAUUCCUUUGAGUGGCACCUUAAUCAGAACAUUCUUUCGGCUAGCGCUGUUUUUUUUUUUGUGAAUUUUAAUUAAAAAAUCGGUUCAAUAUUGUGGUACUCGAUAGCUGGAGUAUGUGAUAUAAGGAUAGAAUGCAAGUUAAGUUCUCGGCAUAUAUUAUACAUAAGGCGAAUCUGCGGUCAAAUGAUGAAGUAAACGAAAAAUUACUUUUUUACGAUAACGCAGCCACUAGCUUAAAUGCUGCGUGACGCACAGAAGGACUUUUAGCUGCCGAAAGGGUGUUCAGAUUUAACUUUUAUAAAUUUUUAAGACUUCACUUACUUGUUUUGAGUUACUUUUUUCCGCUCAGCAAAUUUCACCAUGUUUUCUAUUUGCAAUCAUUAUCUUUCAAUUGGAGAUGCAUCUAAUGGACACAGCUGCUGAAAGAGACAAUGAUUGAUCAAUCAUUUAAUUGACUGUGACUGUACCGCUCUGCUACACAAGGACAACCGACGGCUAAGCGCUGAAUUUCCUUCCAACACAUCGACACAUAUAUUAUUUAAGAUGCAAUAACACUGGUAAUGAAAUAAGGCACCUCAAAUCUGGGAGCUGUUAUGAAUUCGUUUAGCAUGCUCGAAAUCUAAAGCCAAAACUGUAUGAAAUAAGCUUAAAUAUAAACAUUAGCACCUAUCAUAACGAGCUGAAUCAUAAUGCCAAUCAUACACUAAAUCACUCAUACGCAGUGUAAGCAAAAAGUAGACUAAUCUUUUAAUUUAGACCGCAGGGAAUUGAAUCUUUGAAGCUUUUUACCGACUUGUUUGCCAAGUGAAUUGUUUUAUUAUUCACCUUCGCACUGCUGGGUGCAUUCAUUUGAAUUUCACUGGAGGUGCAGUCAAACGUUUUUCGAGGCAACCCUUAACUGUAGCCAAGGUAAACUGUGCCUAACCAAGCGGUGGUCUAGCGGCACGCAGUUGAGGAAGUAAGGGGAGGAUGUGAUAAUUGACUGAUUGUUUAAGGAGUUGGCAGUGGGAAUGGGUCAGUUGUUUGGCCCACUGUGUUAAUGCUGCGCGUUAACUUUCUUUUGUGUUGUCUACGCAAAAGUUUUGAAGCGUAAAGUCAAUUUAAUGGCCAUUUUGCAAGUGUAUGCAGACAACUUUUUGUGUCUGCUAAUUUCUUGUCAGGCAAAUUUCGCUUAUAUUCGCAAGAGGCAGCCACGAUAGGGAACAGUUCCUAACAGGAAAUGGCGUUUAAUAUCCUUUUCUUUCGGGCAUAAGAUCUACUUAGAACAUUCAUUGGCUCCAAUUGCCUGAGCGACAUUUCGGUAAAAAUGUCGAAGACAGACACAGUACAUGGCCUUGUGGUGCCCUGAAAACAUUUUAUUUGUGUUAUGCACGACUAACAAUAUAAUCCACAAGCGGGGAGAAACAAUGUUUACACUGACCCCUGAUAACUAUGUGAUAUUCCACAGCUUGUGUGCUCAUAUACUCGACAUAAACAUUUUUAUGACUUUUACUCUAUUCAACGUUUGGCCUAUUACAGGAUUGCUACGAUUCAUUCUGAGCUGCUAAAAUGAUUAAGCAUUAGAAAGGCUUAAGAAGUAAUUGUUCGAAAACAAAUACCAUAUUUAAAUAUUAAAUUAAUAUUGUCGAUAAUCGCGAUAUACGCAGGGUCUUUUAUACAUUCGUUUUUCAGCGCAUUACCUUUAAUUUUUUUUACUUAGUUCCCCGUUUUUCAUCCAAAUUACAAUGUUUAAUUUAUGAGUAACUGACGAUUUUAUUAGUUUACCUCCUAUUUUUAAAUCAUCGGAUAAUUUGUGUAGAAGAAUUAAGCAAAAAAUAAACCGAAAACAGCCCAAACAAAAGGUUGAACAUAUUCUGUUCUGUAUCAAAUUGUUUGACAUUUUUGUCCCAUGAAUGUGGGUCCGACACGUGUUUGAUAUUAUUCAACAUUUUUGUGGGCUCUACUUUCGAUUAUUUAUUUUAAGCACGUACAAUGGCGCCUAACAACCGCAGAUGGGCUCCAUUCAGACAUGGUGUAAACAAACAAUUUGAAUACAGUUAAAAUUUAUGAACUUACAAAGUGGAAAAUUUAAAUUGUUAAAUUUCCUAGAAAAUACCGUUCUCUUUGGCACUUUAAUUAAUGCUGGGGUACUCCCAUUUCGUUAUUCAGUAAGCUUCUCUCUAAAAUCGGAUUGAAAAACUAUUAAUUUUUUAUUUAAAAAAUGUAUUCAAAAGUUUCCAAAUCCAAAUAAAUAUGAAAUCAGGUCGAUCGUAGUGAUUAUACGUAAA